GCUUUUUAUUUGGUUGUUCAACCGGCGCCGACCUCGCCAGUUAAUUAUUAUGAUUCCCAAGUGGUAAUCGAGACUGAUAACAGUGAGAUAACACUGACUUUCACUAUUUAAAUUAUCAUAAACAUCUAGCAAGAGUUACGCACGCAGUGGAUCCACCAUGGCGCGCUUCAAAGUGUUAAUUUCCAACCCCACAGUGCCAGAAAUCGCCCAUAAUCUACUGAAAGAGAAGUGCGAUGUAAUUAUCAGUCCUGGUUUCGAUAAGGCUUCGAUAAUAUCGGUAAUUUCCGGAGUAGAUGCGCUUCUUUGGAGCGGCGGAGUUCCGCUAGACAAGCAAGUGCUGACGCAGCUGGACCUCGAGUGAAAGUUAUCGGGUUGAUGUCUGCAGGAUACAAUCACGUCGAUUUGCAAGAAGUUAAAGCAAAAGGGAUCAAAAUUGGAAACACUCCUGUGGUACUUAACAAUGCUGUGGCUGAUAAGGCCGUUUUGCUGGCUUUAGGCGCAGCUCAAAGAGUAACGGAAGGACGCUGGCAUAUUGAAAGAGGCACAUGGAACAGUUUCUUCGAUGCCCAAUGGAUGUUGGGGCAAGACAUUUCCGGUUCUACAGUGGGAAUAAUCGGCUUCGGAGGCAUCGGCCAGGCGAUUGCUCGAAGACUCAAAGCCUUCGAUAUAUGCAAGCUGCUUUACACGGGACACAAAGAGAAGCCAGAAGCACAGCAACUAGGAGCAACAUUUGUGGAUCAGGACACUCUGGUUAAGAACAGCGACUUUAUUUUCUUGGCAGCUCCACUCUCAGAAGAAACCAGAGAAAUGUGCAACGAAGAUUUUUUUUGUAAGAUGAAGAAAACAGGCGUUUUAAUCAACAUUAGUCGGGGGCAGUUGGUCGACCAACCAGCUCUAAUAAAAGCGCUUAAGAAUGGGGAAAUAUUCGCUGCUGGCUUAGAUGUGACGACUCCUGAACCAUUGAAUACAGACAGCGAACUCCUGAAGCUCCCCAAUGUGUUUCUAACGCCGCACUUGGGAAGCGCUACUAAAAAAACUCGAAACGCAAUGGCUGAGCUCGCGGCUAAGAAUAUUUUGCUGGGAUUAGCUGACCAACCGCUUUUGAGUCCAGUGAUUUUGUAAUUUUUCUUAUAGUUUUAUGUCUUAAUUCAAAUAAGACGUGCCGAUAAUUAAUGCUGAAUUGUGCGUGCUUGAAAUUUGUCUUAAAGCUUUUUAUACUGUGUAAAUAAAAUAUUUUAAAUUACUUCUAAAACCAGUUAAAAAGUAUUAAAUUAAAACUAUUUGCACUACUUGAAAUACGAAUAAACAAAAGGGAUAAUUUCAAAA